rnacentral:lncRNA from 1 species
GUGAGUUGCCGCCAACCGCCCUAACGGCCGAAACAAUGUUAAUGGCUUUCAGAGUCUGGCGGCGCGUUCCCAUUAUCAUCUUCCUGUGACCCUUCCUCAUUUUACACGGAGGAGGUGGUCUCCACAGUGAUUUUAAAUUUAAUAUUUCUCUCAUAACCUUUGUGAGAUAAAAGAAUCUUCAUCCUUUUAACUUUGACGAGGGAUGAAAUGAAGUUUUCCACAACAUUUGGGAAGAUUUACAAGGUAUACUCCAUUUAGGCAAAAAUAACUGUCAGGGAAUAGUCAUUGUCAAGAGCAGUUUGUAUUGCAACCCACAAAUUAUACCUCUAUGUCGGUCCAGAAAUCCUUCAAUUUACCAAGAGAUUAUGUUUGAAAAUCUUAGAAAAAAUAAACAAUCCUGAAAAACUAAGUAGGGCCAGAGAAAUGGACUACUCAGGAGCUACAGAGCUCUCUGAUUGGCUGAAGACCCAGAGAAACUGUGGAUUAUGCAAGAACUAACAAACAUAUGGAGACUAAGUUCCCAAAGAAGAGUUAAAUAUCUUUGAGUUUAAACCCUAUCUACAGCUGUGUUUGCUGGAAUUGUCAGGACUGUAAUAGAGUUUCAGUUACCAAGGAGAAAUGUUGAUUUAGAGAAGG